GUUAGGGUGGAUGCUUGCAGAAGAAAGGAGGAGGCGAAUGUGUGACCCGGGAGGAGGAUAGGGCGAAGAGAGAGAGCAAUGCUAAAUCAAGGGUACAGUUAGGAAACACAGACACCCAGGGAAGGGAUAUUGGAAGGAGGUGUGUGUGCUUGUGACACAUUAGGGGCAAUCCAAGAAGGACCAGGCUGUUUCUCUUCACCCAGGUAUCUCACAGCAGGUCGCACCAAUGAACAUGUCAGUGUUGACUUUGCAAGAAUACGAAUUCGAGAAGCAAUUUAACGAGAAUGAAGCCAUCCAGUGGAUGCAAGAAAACUGGUAGGUGCUCUCUCCUACAUAAGCUUAGUGUAUUUAUUUUAUUGUGUGCUUGGGCUUCGUGGUGGUUGAAGAGAUCUCAUAUAUACAUACAAAUGCCUCCUGUAGGAGUGACAUGCAGUGUGAUGUGCAUCCACCUCCCAC